GGGUGUGAUCAUAUGAACUUUAAUGCACUGGAUCCUAUCAGAACUCUGCAGUUAAGCGCGCUUAGGCUAGAGUAGUAUUGGGAUGGGUGACCUCUCGGGAAGACCUAGUGUUGCACCCU
rnacentral:rRNA from 1 species